rnacentral:rRNA from 1 species
UACGGGAGGCAGCAGUGGGGAAUAUUGGACAAUGGGCGAAAGCCUGAUCCAGCCAUGCCGCAUGAGUGAAGAAGGCCUUCGGGUUGUAAAGCUCUUUUAGUGAGAAAGAUAAUGACGGUACUCACAGAAGAAGUCCUGGCUAACUCCGUGCCAGCAGCCGCGGUAAUACGGAGAGGGCUAGCGUUAUUCGGAAUUAUUGGGCGUAAAGAGCGCGUAGGCUGAUUAGUAAGUUAAAAGUGAAAUCCCAAAGCUUAACUUUGGAAUUGCUUUUUAAAACUGCUAGUCUAGAGAUUGAAAGAGGAUAGAGGAAUUCCUAGUGUAGAGGUGAAAUUCGUAAAUAUUAGGAGGAACACCAGUGGCGAAGGCGUCUAUCUGGUUCAAAUCUGACGCUGAGGCGCGAAGGGCGUGGGGGAGCAAACGAGGGAUUUAGAUACC